CUGUGAAAAAUAAAAAUCAAUUCUAGGUACUGCUUUGAAAGUGUUGGGUUGUUGUGUUUUUUUGUUUGUUUUUUUUUUUUUUCCCAGUUGAAAGGAUGGAUAACUAGUGUCUUAGUGUCUUUGUUUCAGCUGGGAUGGAAUUGAGCAAAUGCAACUUUUUUUGGUAUCUCAAAUAUCACAGGAAAAGAUUUAGUGGUCUGUAUUUGAAGAUAGACGGCUUUUCACUUAUCUUGACUAUUCUUUGUAACAAACACUGAAUUAAGAAAGGAAAGGGGGAGGGUUUCUAUUAAUAGUUAAAGAAGCCAAGUAUUUACUUAGUGCUGACUUUGGUUUUAUCCUUUAUAAUGGAAAAUUGUAUAGUACUAUUCCCUUAUCUAGUAUAUAUACUGUAUAUAUGCCUUAUGCAUAUGCUUUGUUAUCCUUCUAGUAUAUUUACUGUAUAUAUGCCUUAUGCCAAAUGCUUUAUUAUCCUUAGGACUAUAGUAAAAUUCAUUGAUUUUCAAUUAUUCUGUUUUUUCCAGUGCAUGUUUCUGCUAAUCUUGUCUGAUAAACUUAUCCACAUUUGUGACUUAACUGAAAUUAUAUGUGGCAUAAGUGCAGCCCUGUUUCUUACUAGGUAUGUUUGACCUAAAAUAGAGCCUACCUUCUUAUCACAUGAAUCCAAAAUAUAGGUAGAGAAACAAACAUUAACAUUGCUUCUUUCAAAUUUGUUAGCUGUAAGCUUAUUCAUAAUGCAGGCAUUUUAUAGAUUUGCCUACACUCCCUUUACUGGCUAUUUUCUCACUGAGAGAUUUUUUUUUUUCCCCACCAUUAUUAUUCUGUUGUGUUCAUAACUCCAUAAUAUGCAUCCCAAACAAUUUGUUGGCUUGAUCACAGCUCAGUCAGUCUCCAAAGAUGUAAGUAAAUUUAACAAUUUCACAAAGUGCAAUGAAAGAAGUUCUUUAUAUCUGUGGUUUCGAUAAGGGUGUAGAUUAUAAGAACACUUUCUACCAGAUGGUGUGGCAUUGUAUAAUGGAAACUGUAAUGCUUAAGAACUCCAUUCCUAAGCUAAGCAUUCACUUGACUCCAGAGGAAAAUUGUGCUUCUAUUCUUAUGUGUGGUCAGUUGCAGGAAACUUUCUAAGCCUACUGUGCUGUGUGUUACAGAGCCUGAUUUAUAAACUAUUUUUUAAAAACUCCUAGCACUUUAGUAACUAAACAAAUUUCUCCUUGUUAUUUCUCAGUUAUCCUACUAUGAUCACAACCUUUUAAAUCUAGAUAGGAAGAUACAAUCCUUGCUCAUAUUACUGCAACUCUUCAGGUUGCUAACAGAUCAACUCUGAGAUAAAAGUUUGCUUCAUGUGGAAAUUAUAUUAGUAUAGUAUGAGAAGUUUGUCAAAUAAAAGUAGAUUAAAUUAUGUACUGAUCCAUUUGGUCCCAAUUCUCUGCCUAUCACAGUAACAUGUGUUACUUUUCUCUGGGCUUCUAACUUUAUAUUACAGAUACGUUCUGAAGCCAUGAGGUGGUAUGUAAUACAGGUGUGUAUGUAAUACAGUACUAUGACUGGAGAUCCAAAAGACUUCCGUUCUGCACAGUAACUGCAAAUACUGUUUACUUCUGGUAUCAGUGAAAGUAGUAUUAGGACAGGGAUUCAUCCUCCAGUUUAACCAUUUGAAAUCUGUGAUCUUUUCUAUCAGUAAGACCGGUGUCAGGAUUAUGCUGUUUAGAAAAUAACACAAAUACUGGGUUGCCCUGGAGAACUGAAAGGAAAGCUUACAAAUUACUUACACUACAAUUAUUCAGAACUCAAACUAAAACAUGAGGAUAGCAAUGUUCAAGUGCUCUGACUUCAUAUUUCAUUGUAUGUUGCUUUGUUACAAUUAAUUUUGAUAUACCAAGAACUAAGAGUUGAUUGCAAUAAAACCAUGUGGUCAGGUAUUUCAAGUACAUUUCAGUAAAACCUCUUUUAGGUUCCAUUAUGCAGUUUCAGCCAAAUUCACAAUUCAUGUAAGCAGAUAUAAAUCCAACAGCUUUAUCAGGCUUAAGAUCUUACAGUUCCGGUAGCAGAAUCAAUAAUGUGACUGUAUAAACUAAAUGAAGUCUAGCAUCUAUUUACAAUAAGCUAGUUUGGCUGUAUAAUUCUCUGAUCUGCAGGAACUUUUUCCUUUUACAUCUCAAAGCAUUAGUCAAUAGGCAGAAUUAGUCUAAUAUCCUGUGUUACAAUAUUUUGUUGUAUGCUUACGUUAAGGGUAGAGCUAUAUAGUACUUCCAAAGUUUUUAUUUAUCGUCUUUCUACUUGCUUGCACUAAAACUGAGUCACGAUUCAGUAAGUGAUUCACAGGGUAAACCAUAUUUUAUAAUGAACUGCAAGAUAAAAUCACGUUUGUACAUAUCCAAAGAGAUUUGACUGUCUUUUAAGCUUCUUUUAAUGCUAAUAACAUCUGAUCUGUAUGGUAAUGUGCAAAAAGAGAUAACUUUCUAUUGAAUACUACUAUAAUAUCUUAGGGUAUUGUAUUAAGAAAACUCAAAAGCUCUAAUCCAUUUUGACAGGCUUUUUUUUUUCAGUAAUGCCAUUCUGAGGUAACGUUUUUAAGGAUGCAUGAUAUUUCUGCAUGUGUGUACCCAGAUGGAAAAAUUAAAUUACGAAGAGGUAUAAGAACUACUUAUUAACAUUGUUAUGUAUGAAUACGUGGUUAAAAUCAACAGUACUGCGUAUAUCCAGUUUGCAACAGACUGCAGUUCUAAAAUUUGCUAUCAGGUCUAGCAGGGUUGUUUUUUUUUUUGGUUUUUUUUGAACUUCAGCACUGGAAUACAAGUCUGAGGUAUAAAGUAACUGUUGGCCAAUUAAAGUAAUCAUCUAGCCUUUCCUCCCCCUAGAUAUUUCCCUGCCCUCAGCAGAGGUUUUGGAAUGAGAUGAUCUUCAAAGAUCCCUUCCAAACCCCAGACAUUCUAUGAUUCUAUUUGAUAAAGCAAAAGAUACUGCAUGCUUAGCCAGUACUAAGAGGAAUGCCUGAAGUGCAGCUGGCAACUUGAAAACUAGGUCACCUUUGGGGGAAGUUUCUUUUUUUUAGAUCUUGAACUGAAGAUUCAUUUUAGGGUCUUUUUCUCCAAAGCCCCGCUCCACCAUGUAGUAAUGAACUUGUGCCCAACUGAGUCCUCAAGGAAGUGAAAAGUCUGCAUAUGCUGGGGGUGUGAGAAAUAUAAAUACUCGUAAAAAAAUAAAAUAAAAAAAAAAAAAAUCCGAAGGUGUUGGGGUAUGAAACAGCCACAUAUCACACAUGCUGUGAGUCUACAGCAUAUAUAAGCGUGUGUCAUGUUUCUGAACCACUUGCAGUCUUACUUGAAAAACACAUCCAUGCUAUCACUAGUUGUGGAUCCACUAAAAGAAUUUGUUAUGCAACACUGAAGCAGAGAUGUGUCACCUGGAAAGUACUGACAUUUAAGGUAUUGCCUAGUAGUUUGGUUUUUGGUUUUUUUUUUUUACUGUAUGCUGUAUGAGAGCUGUUGUGAUAGUAAUGCCUCCCAUUAUAUUAAGUUGGUCCUUGAUGUCAGAGGUGGAUGUUGAUGGUAUGGAAUAGAGAUUGAACCUUCCCACCAAUACUCCAUUGCAGUUUGUUGCCACGUGACAGAUGGCAGCAGAGGGGCAGUCUGACAGGUUGGAGUCUGACACGGCAUGGAAGUAUGUAUGAAGCAGAGGAGUGGAACUGAAUUCCUCUAUGUGGAAAAAUGACACCCAUUGAUAUUCAUUGAUGGUUGCUGAAUGUUUAUGGAGAUGAAACACUGGAUGUUAGCACAGUAAAGCAGUGGGUGGCACAUUUCUGUGACAGCUCUGGUGACAGUGAAAUGAAAGACCAGCCAUGCACACCUGUUGUAUUAUGAAAUGAAGACUGCUCCAAUGAGCUCAUCCACAUGAAUUUGUGGGUUUAUAACCAAGAGUUUGUACAGAACUGAAUAUCAGCUUAACUGUAUUGCAAAUGAUGGAGGCAACACAGGAGUUGGAUGACUUUUGUACCAGAUGGUUUCCACAAAUGCUUACAUUGAAACAAAAGGACACUGCAUGCUAGUUGGUCAGGAAUUGAACCAAUAGAAGGCUGGAGGUGACUAUUUCCCAGAUCACAUCAUUACCAGUGAUGGGACAGGGAGUCAUCGCUACAAGCUGAAGUCAAAAUGGUAGUCCAUGGAGUGGUGAUGUGAAUUCCCCACUGAAGAAAAAGUCUGUUACACAGCCCUUGCCAGUUAAGUGAUGUGUGCUCUUUCAGAGCAGGAAAGGCACAAUCUUUGUGAAUUUCCUGGGGCCCAGGCAAGCUGUCAGUUCUGACUGCUAUGUCACAACACUGACUAAGCUGAGGGCUCAGACUUAACACUCAGGCCAGAGAAGAAGACAACCUUUCUCUUGCAACGCACAAAUGCCAAGUCCCAUACCAGUUUGAAGACUGUGGAAGAAACUGCCAAUCUAAGCUGGACUGUCCUACAAUACUCCCUGUAUAGUUUGGGUUUGGCACCUUCUGGCUUUCACUUGCUCAGUUCAGUGGAGAUAGACUGUGUGAGCAACGUUUUUCUAGCAACAAUGCAAUUGUAGCAGCUGCGAAACAGUGGAUCACCUCUGCUGGCGCAAGUCUUUAUGCGCAUGGCAUGCAGGCUCUUGUUCAUUACUGGCAAAAGUGCAUACUUAAUAGAGAUGACUGUGUUGAAAAACAGCAUUAUGUAGCUAAGAAUUUGCUCUCUCAAAUAGUGUUAUUGUAUUCUUUGUAUCUGUUGUAGUUUCCAUGGUAAUAAAUAGGAGGCAUUACUUUAGGAUCUACCUCUAUGUAUAGGAUAUCAGAUAUGCUUUUGGCUUUUUCAUCAUUCCUCAUCUGCUUUCAAAUAGCAAAACCAACUUCCUUGUUGAUUUCCUCUGCAACAUGCAAAAUUUUCAGAUAAUACUAAAUUAGAGCCUGAGCCAGAGAAGCAACUUCUACAGCAGGUGACCAUUCCCUAAACUUCAUAGCACUGAGUUAUGGCCCCUAUCUCUUGAGUCAUUUCUCAAUUUUUGUGGAGUUGAAUAUCCUGCCUGCAAAUCUCUGUAUGGAAUAGCACAUUAAAGCAUUUAAAAACAAUCACUUGCUUCAGAAAAAGACUUUGUGUUUACAAAAGUUGUGUACACAUGGCUGUACACAUCAUUCCCUCACAGUGUCUUUCUAAAGUUCUGUCACUAUUCAAACUGUGCUAUGCAGAAAUUAGUUACGCAGGAGGGAAAAAAACAACACAAAACAA